rnacentral:rRNA from 1 species
UACGGGGGGGGUAAGCGUUGUUCGGAAUUACUGGGCGUAAAGGGCUCGUAGGCGGCCAACUAAGUCGGACGUGAAAUCCCUCAGCUUAACUGGGGAACUGCGUCUGAUACUGGAAGGCUUGGAUUUGGGAGAGGGAUGCGGAAUUCCAGGUGUAGCGGUGAAAUGCGUAGAUAUCUGGAGGAACACCGGUGGCGAAGGCGGCAUCCUGGACCAACAUUGACGCUGAGGAGCGAAAGCCAGGGGAGCAAACGGG